UACGUAGGUGGCAAGCGUUGUCCGGAUUUACUGGGCGUAAAGAGCGCGCAGGCGGUCGUUCAAGUCGCGUGUGAAAGCCCCCGGCUCAACUGGGGAGGGUCACGCGAUACUGAUCGACUCGAAGGCAGGAGAGGGUAGUGGAAUUCCCGGUGUAGUGGUGAAAUGCGUAGAUAUCGGGAGGAACACCAGUGGCGAAGGCGACUACCUGGCCUGUUCUUGACGCUGAGGCGCGAAAGCUAGGGGAGCAAAGGGG
rnacentral:rRNA from 1 species